GCAAGGCCCGAGGUUGCCCCCUACCCAGGCCUGGUCUCUGCUGGGUCAAGGGCAGACUUCCAAGGCAAGGUGCCCUUCCAGCCCCUUCCUCACCACCUCCCGAGGAACCACUUGUUCCUUCUGGGGGCCUGGACUGCCGCCUUUUCCAGGCCCCCACAGAUCACUGAGGUGUCCUACCUACGCUCCAGCUCCAGCUCCGCUAGGGACCCGACCUGCCUGUGCACCAAACCUGCAGGACCCUGGGCUCUUGGCUCAGGACUAUUCCAAGCCAAGACCUUGUCGUGUUCCCGGUGUGAGGCUUCCAGCACAGACUCAUCAAUCUUCCAGCUCAGACCCUUCAGCUUUCUGACAUUGACUCACACCAGACUCUGCAGAGAACUCCAGGCCUUCCACCUUCAACUGGAUCUUCCACUUUUCUAGAGCUCAGAGGACCAUUUUGCAUUCUUCCACCCCUGAUUCUGCAGACGAGAACUGCAACUGCUCAGACUUGGACCGUAGGCCUACACCUGCAGCAGAGAGAAAGAUCCAGAAUCUCUGACAGCCACAGGCUGGGGGAAGAACAGCUCCCCAGUGCACAGAUGGGUGCUGAGCAGACAAAACAGCAUGUGCCCAAGUGUGUGAGAGCCAGAGGGCAAACGAGAAAAUUCACAGUGUUCACAGGGUAUGGAGUUCCCCCCUGUGAAAAAAGAAUCUAAAAUACUGUGGUUUGGCCAAGACAGAAGUACAGUUAGUUCUCAGCUAAUAUUGCCAGGUGUGGACAGGUAGGCCAGGAAUCACAGGAGUUUUGCCUUCCUUCAUUAGAUGGAUGCUCCCAUCCACUCUGCUAGAUGAAGAGGAUGAUUAGUAAAUCCCAUGGACCAGGAACAGCAUGACCAAUAGUGUCUUAGUCACUUUCUCUUGGCUGAGAUACAAUACACAGGACCCACAACUUAAAUGAGAAAAGGUCUACUUUGGCUCAAGGUUCCAUCCAUAGUUCUCUGGCUCCAAGAGAGGAAGAGCAUGGUGGAUGGGCCUGGGUAGAGAAAGCUGCUCACACCAUGGUGGCCAGAAAGCAGAGAGAGAGAGAGAGAGAGAGAGAAGGAAGGAGCCAGGGAGGAAGAUACACCCUUCCAGUUCAUGCCUCAGUGACCCACCUUUCCCAGUCCAGCCUACAUUCCAGUAGCACACCCAUCCACUGAUGAGUACAUCACCUCCAUGAUCCAACUAUCUCCCACAAGUCCUGCCUGUGAGCACAUAAAGCUUUGGUGGGACAUUCUUGAUCUAAACCAUAACAAAUACACCAAAAAUCGAUAGAUAAAAUAUACCAGGAAGAUUGUGUUCAGUAGGUUCUUUACAUUGGAAAGAACUUUCUCAAUAGAUUUGAUAGACAGAGAACAGUGUGAUCAACAUGAUCAGUUGAUUCAAGCAAUAUCUAGAAGUGGCACACACCACUUCUGUCAUGAACUAUUGACUAGGUCUAAGUCGUGAGCCCACAUGUAGCUGCAAGGGAGAUUUGACAAUGUGGUCAAUAGCUGAAUCAGUAUGUAACCAGCUAAAAGAUUUUUAUAUUAAGGAAAGGAAUAUAGAUAUUCAUGGACACUUAAGAGACUGGCAUACAUGCUCUAGUGUAAUAAGUGCUACAUAAAUUUAAGUGGACAACUGAUCAUCUACUAGAAUGUCUAACAUUAAAAACAUCCCAAGUUGGCCGGGGAUUUAGCUCAGUGGUUCCGCUGCCUGCCUCGCAAGCACAAGGACCCGAGUUCAAUCCCCGGUACCAAAAACAAAACAAAACAACAAAAACACCCCAAGGUGGCAACAUAUAGAGCCACUAAGCCAUUCAUACACUGCUGCUAGGAGUGUGAAAUAGUGUAGCCACUUUGAGAAAAUACCUAACAGUCC